CCCGCUUCCUACUUCCAGAACACUUAAAUCAAUCUCAGCCCAUUUGAAAACACACCAAUGCGAAAGACUCCUUUGCCCCCAACACACCUGGAGCACUCUCCCCACAACCUAAAGCGCUAGUCGAAAGCAAGAAGCUUUCUUAAAAAUCACUAUUAGUUUUCUUUGAAAACUAAGCAAACCAGCUCAUCAAGACGCACCCACUGACCGGCAGGACUGACCUGUUUUGGGAGGAUUUCUUUUGACUUUCAUCCAGUCAAAGGUCUGCGCUGGAGAAGACGUCUCCGACGCAGGGGAGCGACAGGCUUCUUGGUGGCUGGCGUGGAGAGGGGACAAGGAGUUAUUAUACGUGGCCAGGGGGCCGUAAGGCGCACCGAAGUUCUGCGCGCUGUAGCUUGGACCACAACUCGAGUGGGAGUAGGACACUCCCAGGUUCCCAGAAGUCUGGUUGGAACUGGGAGGCAUCCCCCGCCUCCGCCCCCUCCCCGCGGUGCUCUGAAAGAUGAACUGGCAAGAGGUGAGAAGGGAAGAGGGCUCCUGGCUCUCCUGGGGUGGGAAUCAGUGGGCUAGAGCUCGCUGGGUGGCCGCAAGUACCUUGGCCGAGCCCUGAGCACGCCAAGCAGGAAGGGUGGGAAUCCAGUCGUCACCGCGCCCCAGAGUCCCAGGAUAAUUCCACCGCACAACCUCUGCUGUGAGGCCGUGGGGCUGUGGGGAGCUCAAAGAACGCUUGAGGAGGGCAAGGCUAGGCCACUAGCUCUCCAGGCUUGGAAUGGAGAAGGUAGUGCGCCGAGAACUGGCUGGGAGGAACUCGGGUGGGAGUGGAGGGGACGACGAGAGCAAGAAAAGAAACUUCCCUCCUCCACGGAGGGUCUCCCUAGCCUUCUUUCCCAACCCCCGCUCGUCAUUAGCAUGGCAAUGAGGAGCUUCUGUAAUUCGAUCCCCAGGGAGGAAUGAGCCCUUGAAACCAAGCUUGCUGGAAAAGGCCGGGGCGGCGGGCUCUUCCCCGCCCUCUCUCUUUCCUUGUUCUCCGCCCCUUUCUCCUCCCCACUCAGCUUUGCUAGGGGAACCCUCCAGGAUCCAAAGCAACUCCACCACUGGAGUUUGAGGGGUAGAAGGAGGGGGAGGGGGAUGACGGCUAGCAAACGUGGCCAGCGUGGGGGCCGGGCCUUGAGCUGCAGGCCAUCUGCCGGCUCCUAAGGACUUAGGAGCCUGCGAUCUCUAGAGCAGAACUCAAAAGGCCGGAACGCAAUCCCUACAAAACAUUCCGAACUCCCCCUAUCCUGUUUCUUUUUCUUGAGGGGGAUGUUAGGAGUGGGAAAGCCUCCACUUUCUACUGCUCCCCAUCUACUGAUAGUCUGGAGUGGGGGUGGAGGCUGGCAGGUGGGAGGGGCGGUGGACAGAUGGCUGAGGGUGAAUGGGACACUUCUCUCUUCCCCAACAUCUCCUCCCCUUUCCAACGGACUGUAUAGUUGCUUGCGUGAACUUUCAAGUCUUGCCCUAGAGAGACGCGUGCAAAUCAGCGUCACCCCAGGCCAGGGAGCCUGUUCUCCCUCACUCUAGUCCUACAAUGAUAAUGCUGGGGUCAUUAAUUGCUGUUUACUAUUAGGUUUCAUGUCAACCCUGGGCUUGUGGAGAAAAAAGGUCAAGCAGAGACCGAGAACUGAUGCAUUCUUAAGCAGGAGAAAUCCAGAGAGCACCUAAGAAGUUUUUCAACCAAAGCUGCAUAGAUUUUACUCUGACAUGUUUGUGAGAUUAAAUCAGACAGAAAUUAAUAGUGAGGAUUGUAGGUGGGUUUGGGGUUCCCACGCCCUCCCUUUCUACAUUAAAAGAAAGUUUUCUCUAGGCAGGCACAUUUCAAAUGUGUUAGUCACCCUUUCAUGCAUCUGUGUUCCAUUCUCAUAAAAAAAUUCUUCAAAAACCUGUCCCCACAAGAGGGAAAAUUUCUGUAGACCUUUGACUCUGAACUCCUUCAGUAGCAAUGAAACAUUUUCCCCAAACAUUUCCUUUUGGAAUGGUAUUUUCCUAUGACCUUUGACCUACCCCCAAGCAUGGAAAAAGGGAGCAGCUCCGGAAAGUCCCUCUGCCCCAGUUUCAGCUUGUGAGGACCCUCACCCUGUAAAAGGGGAAAGACAAGGGGGCCUGGUUGGAGAUGGCUUCCUUGGGAGCACCAGACUUGGGGAAGGAAGGGGAUCCUGUUGGGCAGGGGGCAGAAUGUAAGAGAGUCUGUGCUGGCAGUGAGGGAGAUCCAAGCCUCUGCCCGCUUGCCUCAUUCCUAUACCUUUGUGGGCCUCCUUGGCUCUCCUUUGCAGUAUCCUGCCGGUAGUAGCCUUCACAAAGCCGCCUGCAGCCUCAGCCGCUGUCUCCUCUCCCUCCACCUCUCUUUCUCCUGGCCUGUUUUCAGGGAAAGCCGGGUGGGUGUUUUCCCUGGGAUCACAAAUUUGCACUGCCAUACAAGCCUGCUUACAUACAGGCCAACUACCAUCCCGCCUCUUCAUACUGCUCCAGCUCCCCGCAAGCCGGCUGUGCCUGGGCUGGUCCCCCAGAGUGCAGCUCUCCUGGAGUGGCUCACAAAGGCAGCCUCCCGCUGCCUCCAGCCCGUAGGCUUCGGUAGCUCGGAUCCUUCCCCAACCUCCACACCACCACCACCCCACCCCCAGGAUUCGUGAAAGCCAUCCUGCUGUAUAGGAGACCCUUGGUCCUCUGGGCAUGUAGGCCAGCGACCCAGGACUCAGCUAAAAUAUCUUUAAAUGCCUCAGGAGAAUGGGUGAAAGGCGAGCUUGGUUACGAUUAAAAUAAUCGUCUGUAAGCUGUUGGCUCUGCUCAAAACGCCUCUUUCAGGGCUCUUCUAGAAAGGGAAAGAGCGAGGAGGAGACAAAACGCCGCCAAGGCCCCGGAGCCGUUCAUGGCAUCCGCGGCUCAGCCAAGCUGUUGUUUUAAAAGAGCAAUAAAAAUGAAUUAUGACUGAACGCCUUCUAACUUAAUGCUUUCGGACGGGGAUCCCCGGCAAAUACGUAAGAGGAUUUUUAUUUGUGCAUGUGUUCCUGCAAUUGAUCUCUUUGAUGACAUUCUCAUUCAUAGAAAGCGUUUGAUUUAUGGGUUUAGGACGAAUCGCAUCCAGGAGCGGCGCAGCCCUGGCCGCAGCCAGGACGCCCUGCUCGGCGCUGAGCCUGAGCCUGGGUCCGGAAGCCGGCCACAAACGCCACACACCGCCGCUGCUACUGCUGGGAUUUAGAGGGUGAAGGGGUGACAGAAAGUAGGGAGCAAACCCUUGAGGAAAGAUCGCGAUUUCAUAGUAACUUCCGAACCUUUGCUGUUAAGAGCAGGGUUCUUAAAUCAACCCGCCCAACACACAUGUUGCUGCGCUUUCUCACGGUAAGUAGCCCAGAGAACAGAGCUCAAAAAGGGAAAAAUAAACAUGGGGAGGCAUAAAAACUGGAAAAAAAACAGAACAGCCCAAGAACACACCCUAGAUCAUAUUUUAUUGAUAUUUCAUUUAAAGUGCUUUUUCUUUCUCUGCCUAACUGGGUUAAUUUAUAACCUAGGUUGCAGAAACACUCCAUUUUAAAUCUCAACUUGCUAACCUGACUUCAAAGCUUUAAUGAUCCAUUAUUAGCAAUGUAAACAGAUUUAAGAGUGAAAUAUUGAUUUUUCUGACCCUGGAGGGGGGGUGGGAGUAUCCUAGAAUGACUGGACCAGACAAUUGGAAAGAAUACUUCCUGAAGUGCAUUUUCCAUCUAGUAACCACUAUUUUGUUUUAUUGUUUUUCUCUAUCUUUUAGGUCUAUUUUGCCUGAACCCAUCAACAGCUGGGAGAUUAAUCAACCACUGAAAAUGUAUGGGGGAUUUUUGGGGGAGGGGUUGGAAUGUAGAUGUUUGAAACCAACGUGUAUAAAUAAAUGAAUUGUUGAUAACUUAUUGACCUGGUAGCUUGUUAAAGAAACCUGGAGUUGCUCAUUCCUUGAGCUGGGGUUUCUGUAGGCACUUUAUUUCUCCACCUUCAAAAGCUUGGGUUUGCCCAACUCUUAGACUGCCCAGUCCUUUUUCUAUUACUAAUUUAAAUCUAUGGCUUGAGACUCUACACUGAAAGCCAAAUCCAUUCCCUUCCAAAAAAGAAAAAGAAAAAAAGAAAAGAAAAAGAAAGAAAAAACCCUAAAAUCAAAAAGUACUUGUCAGAAGCCCUAGCCAUUUUCUGGCUUUAUUUGUUGCUGUCUAUUGAAGACUGAACAUGCCACAUUAAUAAAUAUAUUAAAAUUGAAAAAGAAGAUAAAUUGUGACCAGAAUUUUAUUUACCAAGUUAGACUAAAAGAAGAAAAAGAAACCACUAUGAUCCUUCAGAAGGAGGGGGAGAAAAAAUAAAGCUACUUAUAGCAAAGGAAAAUUUAUUCUACCAAAAAUACGCAUGACAAUGCAUCCUAGUGUAAUACAAAAAUAAAAAGAAAGUGAUGGUACAAUUUCUGAUCACUUUCUUGCAGGCCUCAUAUAUUGCUUUCAGGAAAACCACAUAAAGAGUUGUUGUUGGAUGAGGUUUAAAACAACUAAAACUCCAAUGUAAUCUGUAAGAGAUGACUCUGAAACUGGGUCAGGGAAUCACUAAACAAAAUGCUCAACAUUUAAAGGAGGAAGAGGGUAGGUCAAGAAGAAAAUAAAAAUCAACUCCGGAAUAAAAGAAGGCAAAACCACCUGGUCAAAGGGGUUUUUGUUUUGUGAUGCUUUGUUUUUGCUUUAAUGUUUUUAGUAAUUCAGAUGCUGCAAGUCAAUUGUGGUGAGUGUGUCUGUAAAAAAGUCAAAGCUGUCAGCUGAAAUAUCUACAGGACUGUCGAGGGAACCUGGCAAACUGGGCGAGACUGCAUCUGAAAGCUGCAGGCAGGAAUCUGUGGAGAAAACGUUAAAGUCCUGCAAAGAGGGGACCUCGAGGGCCUCGGGACUGUCAUUGUUUAGGCCAGCUCCACAGUUCUGGCCCAUUGUUGACAAGCAGUUAGGAACAGUGGGUGACUGGUGCUGAAAAUGUUUCAGAUUUUUCUCAUUGCUGGUUAGAGGCGAAACUGGGAAACUUUGGGAGUCUCCAUUGUGUCCAUUGGGAGCCUGCUGCUGAGAGAGGGCAUUUUGCUGAAAAGUGUAACCUUCCCUCUCCAGAAGGGCCCCUGAGACGCUGAGGGCUUGCUCAAAGAGCGACUUCUCUUCUUCGUCCUCCUCCACUUUCUCCGAGUCCUCAAGGCUUUUAAAUUUCCCUUCACUGUUUUGGUUUUCCUUGCACUGGGUCUGCCUCUUGUGCUUCA